rnacentral:misc_RNA from 1 species
GCCAUAUGUCCUGGUGGUGGAGCAGGUAGUGCUUGUGAUGGAAGAGCUACAGAUUUACCCCAGCCUAUCUUCAACUCAUAUUCAUACACAACCACUCCUUGCAUUUCAUCUUUUGCAGCCUGCCCAUCAGCUCUAUUCAUAAAUGCUACAAAUCCACAAUUUCUCUGCCGCCUUCGCUCUUCUUCUGUUCUAGGCCACAUUAUCUUGACACUAGCAAUAGGCCCAAAUCUUCCAAAAGUUCGCAGAAGAAAAUUCUCGUCAACCUGAGGAGAGAGAUUCCCAACAUAAAGAUUUGUAGUUUGUGGAUCACCAUCAUCAAAUGAUCCCUUUCCAGUUGGAUCAAAGUCAUCAGGCAAUUCAUCAAAUCUACUAGAUGGAGCAGCAAUCUCAGUAGCACGCCCAUCACGCCAGCGCUCACGUUCCUGAUUUCGCCUCUCCCUCAUCUCAUGUUCAUGCUUCAGCUCCUCCAUGAAAUGAUCAAUGUUACGUGCCUUCCCUUUUUCCUUUUCCUUUUCCUUUUCCUUUGGUCUUUCCUCCUCUUUCUUCUUCUCAGAUUCUUUCCCCUUGACUGCCAUGGGAGGUGGCAAAAAA